rnacentral:rRNA from 1 species
CUCCUACGGGAGGCAGCAGUGGGGAAUAUUGCACAAUGGGCGCAAGCCUGAUGCAGCGACGCCGCGUGAGGGAUGACGGCCUUCGGGUUGUAAACCUCUUUCAGUAGGGACGAAGCGCAAGUGACGGUACCUACAGAAGAAGGACCGGCCAACUACGUGCCAGCAGCCGCGGUAAUACGUAGGGUCCGAGCGUUGUCCGGAAUUACUGGGCGUAAAGAGCUCGUAGGUGGUUUGUCGCGUUGUUCGUGAAAACUCACAGCUUAACUGUGGGCGUGCGGGCGAUACGGGCAGACUGGAGUACUGCAGGGGAGACUGGAAUUCCUGGUGUAGCGGUGGAAUGCGCAGAUAUCAGGAGGAACACCGGUGGCGAAGGCGGGUCUCUGGGCAGUAACUGACGCUGAGGAGCGAAAGCGUGGGGAGCGAACAGGAUUAGAUACCCUGGUAGUCCACGCCGUAAACGGUGGGUACUAGGUGUGGGUUUCCUUCCUUGGGAUCCGUGCCGUAGCUAACGCAUUAAGUACCCCGCCUGGGGAGUACGGCCGCAAGGCUAAAACUCAAAGAAAUUGACGGGGGCCCGCACAAGCGGCGGAGCAUGUGGAUUAAUUCGAUGCAACGCGAAGAACCUUACCUGGGUUUGACAUGCACAGGACGUGCCUAGAGAUAGGUAUUCCCUUGUGGUCUGUGUGCAGGUGGUGCAUGGCUGUCGUCAGCUCGUGUCGUGAGAUGUUGG